UGGUUAAAAAGCUCGUAGUUGGAUCUCGGCGGGCUGAGGGCGGUUUGCUUGCUAGUAUUACUGCCCUAUAGUCCGUAGUUUUGCCAGAGGUUUCGGGGUGCUCUUAAUCGAGUGUCCCGGGAUGCUGGCAGGUUUACUUUGAAAAAAUUAGAGUGCUCAAAGCAGGCUAUUACGCCUGAAUAUUCGUGCAUGGAAUAAUAGAAUAGGAAGUCGUUUCUAUUUUGUUGGUUUUCGGAAAUCGACUUAAUGAUUAAUAGGGACAGUCGGGGGCAUUUGUAUUCAAACGACAGAGGUGAAAUUCUUGGACCGUUUGAAGACAAACUACUGCGAAAGCAUUUGCCAAGAAUGUUUUCAUUAAUCAAGAACGAAAGUUAAAGGUUCGAAGGCGAUUAGAUACCGCCCUAGUUUUAACCAUAAACGAUGCCAGCUAGCGAUCUGCGGACGUUUUUUUUGUAGACUCCGCAGGAAGCUUCCGGGAAACCAAAGCAUUUGGGUUCCAGGGGAAGUAUGGUUGCAAAGCUGAAACUUAAAGGAAUUGACGGAAGGGCACCACCAGGAGUGGAGCCUGUGGCUUAAUUUGACUCAACACGGGAAAUCUCACCAGGCCCGGACACUGGAAGGAUUGACAGAUUGAUAGCUCUUUCUUGAUCCGGUGGGUGGUGGUGCAUGGCCGUUCUUAGUGGGUGGAGUGAUUUGUCUG
rnacentral:rRNA from 1 species